rnacentral:rRNA from 1 species
UGGGGAAUAUUGGACAAUGGACCAAGAGUCUGAUCCAGCAAUUCUGUGUGCACGAUGAAGUUUUUCGGAAUGUAAAGUGCUUUCAGUUGGGAAGAAAGAAAUGACGGUACCAACAGAAGAAGUGACGGCUAAAUACGUGCCAGCAGCCGCGGUAAUACGUAUGUCACGAGCGUUAUCCGGAUUUAUUGGGCGUAAAGCGCGUCUAGGUGGUUAUGUAAGUCUGAUGUGAAAAUGCAGGGCUCAACUCUGGAUUGCGUUGGAAACUGUAUAACUAGAGUACUGGAGAGGUAAGCGGAACUACAAGUGUAGAGGUGAAAUUCGUAGAUAUUUGUAGGAAUGCCGAUGGGGAGGCCAGCUUACUGGACAGAUACUGACGCUGAAGCGCGAAAGCGUGGGUAGCAAACAGGAUUAGAUACCCUGGUAGUCCACGCCGUAAACGAUGAUUACUAGGUGUUGGGGGUCGAACCUCAGCGCCCAAGCAAACGCGAUAAGUAAUCCGCCUGGGGAGUACGUACGCAAGUAUG